rnacentral:tRNA from 1 species
GCCUGGGUGGCUCAGUCAGUUGAGCAUCUGACUCUUGGUUUCAGUUGGAUCUCGCAGUUUGUGGGUUCAAGCCCCGUAUCAGGCU